rnacentral:rRNA from 1 species
AUUGAACGCUGGCGGCAUGCUUUACACAUGCAAGUCGAACGGUAACAGGGAGCUUGCUCCGCUGACGAGUGGCGAACGGGUGAGUAAUGCGUCGGAACGUGCCGAGUAGUGGGGGAUAACGCAUCGAAAGGUGUGCUAAUACCGCAUACGUACUGAGGUAGAAAGUGGGGGACCUUCGGGCCUCACGCUAUUCGAGCGGCCGGCGUCGUAUUGGCUAGUUGGUGGGGUAAAGGCUCACCAAGGCGACGAUCAGUAGCGGGUCUGAGAGGAUGAGCCGCCACACUGGGACUGAGACACGGCCCAGACUCCUACGGGAGGCAGCAGUGGGGAAUUUUGGACAAUGGGCGCAAGCCUGAUCCAGCCAUGCCGCGUGUCUGAGGAAGGCCUUCGGGUUGUAAAGGACUUUUGUCCGGGAGCAAAUGCCUGGUGUUAAUAGCAUCGGGAGCUGAGAGUACCGGAAGAAUAAGCACCGGCUAACUACGUGCCAGCCGCCGCCGUAAGAC